GUGGGUAAGGGUAAAACCAAAAUCCCACUUUAUGGCUGAAAAAAUCUAUUCUCAGAGAGAUAAAGCAAUAACAUAGAGGUUGUACUCGAUUCUACGAUGAUUAACCAUCAUUUAAGAAUAACUAUCGUAACUGGUAGAUGUUAGGUAUGAAGUAAUAAAAUCUGUGCUAAAAGUUGUAGGUAAUCGCAAAUCCUACAUCCC
rnacentral:ncRNA from 1 species